GACUACUGCCAUACCACACUGAAUGUGCCCAAUCUUGUCUGAUCUCGGCAGCUAAGCAGAGUACUUGCUUGGGAGAAUCCUCCCACCAAAAAGAGAGGAACACAGAUGUGAUAGUAU
rnacentral:rRNA from 1 species